UACGUAGGGGGCAAGCGUUGUCCGGAAUCAUUGGGCGUAAAGCGCGUGUAGGCGGUUCGGUAAGUCUGCUGUGAAAGUCACAGGCUCAACCUGUGAAUGCCGCUGGAAACUGUCUGGCUAGAGUCCGGAAGGGGCGAGUGGAAUUCCUGGUGUAGCGGUGAAAUGCGCAGAUAUCAGGAGGAACACCAAUGGCGAAGGCAGCUCGCUGGAACGGUACUGACGCUGAGGCGCGAAAGCGUGGGGAGCGAACAGG
rnacentral:rRNA from 1 species